UAGGAUAAUAUUUGUAUUAUUGAUGAUGUCUGCUACAAUGAUGGGGAUAAAAAUCCUACCAGCUCUUGUUUGAUUUGUAGACCUCAAACUUCAAAUUCUACUUGGUCAGUUUUAGAUUAUAACCAGCCCCCUGUGAUUCAAACACUGCAAGACAAAUUACAGGUGUUUUAUGGGGAAGACUUUGAAUACCAGUUCAUCGCCUGGGAUCCAGAAGGCUCUGAGAUACAGUUUACACUAGAUUCUGGUCCUGAUGGUGCAGGUGUUUCCUCUGAAGGACUUCUUACAUGGAAAACAGAGUCACAGACUCCUCAGAAAUUCACUCUCCGUCUUAAGGAUGACUGUGAGACUGAAGCUACAGUCACACUGGAGGUUAUAGCUAUAAUUACAUAAAUGUCACUGGACUUUUUACAAACACUACCACU
rnacentral:lncRNA from 1 species